GACAGAGGUGCCAAGCGUUAGGCGGAAUCACUUGGGACGUUAAAGCGUGUGUAGGCGGACUUGUAAGUACCAUUGUGAAAUCCCACGGCGUCAACCGUGGAACUGCUUGGUAUACUGCUUGUCUUGAGCCACUUAGGGGCUACCGGAACAAAUGGUGUAGCGGUGAAUGACGCAGAUAUCAGGAGGAACACCGAUGGCGAAGGCAGGUCUCUGGGCCACUACAUGACGCUGAGAAGCGAAAGCAUGGGGAGCGAAACAGG
rnacentral:rRNA from 1 species